rnacentral:rRNA from 1 species
AGAGUUUGAUCAUGGCUCAGGAUGAACGCUAGCGGCAGGCUUAAUACAUGCAAGUCGAGGGGCAGCAUGACUGUAGCAAUACAGUUGAUGGCGACCGGCAAACGGGUGCGGAACACGUACAGAACCUUCCUUCGAGCGGGGAAUAGCCCAGAGAAAUUUGGAUUAAUACCCCAUAGUACAACGGAGUGGCAUCACUUUGUUGUUAAAGAUUUAUCACUUGAAGAUGGCUGUGCGGCUGAUUAGGUAGUUGGCGGGGUAACGGCCCACCAAGCCUGCGAUCAGUAACUGGUGUGAGAGCACGACCAGUCACACGGGCACUGAGACACGGGCCCGACUCCUACGGGAGGCAGCAGUAAGGAAUAUUGGUCAAUGGACGAAAGUCUGAACCAGCCAUGCCGCGUGGAGGAUGAAGGUCCUCUGGAUUGUAAACUUCUUUUAUAUGGGACGAAAAAGGGUUUUCUAACUCGUCUGACGGUACCAUAUGAAUAAGCACCGGCUAACUCCGUG